GCGCAAUGGGCGAAAGCCUGACGCAGCAACGCCGCGUGCGGACGAAGGCCUUCGGGUUGUAAACCGCUUUCAGCAGGGACGAAAUUGACGGUACCUGCAGAAGAAGCCCCGGCUAACUACGUGCCAGCAGCCGCGGUAAUACGUAGGGGGCAAGCGUUAUCCGGAUUCAUUGGGCGUAAAGCGCGCGUAGGCGGCCUGUUAAGUCAGAUGUGAAAGCCUGGGGCUCAACCCGAGGACUGCAUCUGAAACUGGCGGGCUUGGGUCUGGUAGAGGAAAGUGGAAUUCCCGGUGUAGCGGUGAAAUGCGCAGAUAUCGGGAGGAACACCAGUGGCGAAGGCGGCUUUCUGGGCCACGACUGACGCUGUGGCGCGAAAGCUAGGGGAGCAAACAGGAUUAGAUACCCUGGUAGUCCUAGCCGUAAACGAUGGGCACUAGGUGUGGGGGAUUAUCAACGUCUUCCGUGCCGUAGCUAACGCAUUAAGUGCCCCGCCUGGGGAGUACGGCCGCAAGGUUA
rnacentral:rRNA from 1 species